GAGGUCCUUCCGGGAGUCCAGCUGACACAGGUCUCGGCCAGGGCUCUACCUGCGCUCAGGAUUGGAAAAGCUGUGCGCAAUGAGAGGCGCGUUGGUUCUCCGCAACGGGGAGCAGAAACCGGCCUGGGUCAGCCAGUGGACUGGUUGGAAGCAGAGAACUGAAAGAAAACCAACACCCUAGUGAGGUCAAGGGAGAUUUUAAAGGCUGAAGCAGAAGGAUCUUAAGUUCCAGCCAGAUUCCUUAGGGAGCAUUUGCCUCCAUAAAAUAACCCUAACUGUUGUCAAGUGACAGUGAACUCCAGUGACCAUCAGACAAGGAUAAGUGUAGUCCUCACCCUCAUCAAGGAAGCUUCCCUUGACAACUGACAUCGGUCAUUACAGAAAACUGCAACCAAUCAAAUUGCAGUUGUACAGCCCAAUCCCAGCAGAUACAGCUACAAAACAACUCUUGCAACUAAACCCAGGGAUCGUUGUGAAGGAGAGAACGGGAAGAUUGUAAGAUCCAGGGGAUCAAGGAAUUUGCUAUGAGACAGUGUCUCCCAGAAGCUGCACACCCAUGAAGUCUCACCAAUAUACCUGCCUAAAUGUGACCUGAGUAAUGACACCAGUCGCCAUGUUAACACGGAUGAGGGAAAGCCAGGGAGGCUACACCCCCACCUGCAGCCAACUAAGAAAUGCUGGGAUUGGGAAAAAUUGUCUUCCCCUAGGAAGAGCACUGCAGUUGUUAUCCCAUACCACAUGGUCAGCACUGAAAACAUAUAUNNNNNNNNNNNNNNNNNNNNNNNNNNNNUACACAUUUAGGAAUAUACAUAUACACUUUCAUGUGUGUAAUAACAACCAAGUUUUGUUUUGUUUAAAAAAAAAACAUGAAUUUGAAAGAAAACAAUGGGAAGGAUAUAUGAGAAGGUUUGGAGAGAGGAAAGGGAAGGGGAAAAUGAUGUAAUUAUAUUAUAAUCUC
rnacentral:lncRNA from 1 species